CUGGGAAAGAAAACUUAGGUGAGAAGCUGUUUGCUAAGUAAAGUACUGCAUUCAAUUUAAAAGAAGAAGGUAGUUAUUUGGUAUUUAGAUUUUUCCGAUUGUAUUAACGAUUUUGGCAACAGUAUUGAUCUAAAACAUGUCCUGUAACUUUCUCAUGAUGUCUUCGUAGCACCUCAGAAUGGAGAACAGAAAAGGUCUAAAAGGCAUGAUUUUGAUAAAAGCAGCUCUGGAAAGAAAUAUUCUGACAGUUUCCAGAAUGAGACUGAGAAUGAAUAAGAGACAUGGAAAAAUGGAAGAAUCUCCAGUCAUUCUGACCACAGAUUUAGUGGUAGUUACAAAUGAAGAAAACAGUGACCUGGGCCUGUAUCCUUCUUCCUCCUUAACUUAUAUAAAAUUUCUAAUUCUGCUAUGCCUUAGGGAAUUACCUGAUUUUCAGAUUUUCCCUGAUGUUCAACAACUGAAUAAAAGCUGUUACCUCUGUUUGAGCCACUAAAACUAUUUUUUUUCAUUGACAGGAUCUAUAUAACUAAUUCUUAUAUUGAACAGUCAAAACUGUAGGCUUUUUGUUUGUUUUGUUUUGUUUUGUUUUUGGUAUGGGCAGAGAAUAUAGAGCUUGUGAGUGGCAGGAAUAAGCUUCAAAAUUUAGCUAAACUAAAUUCCAGACAACUUUUUUCCCACGAUGCCGUGAUGUUUUCUGAGUUAUGUUUGGGUUUCAUACUGUUCAGAGAUCUUCAGUGAGGUAAGGAUAGAAAGGCAAUAUUUCAGAGUUCCUAAGUCACUUAGAGAGACAUUUUAGGUAAUUUCUACCUAUUACCUACAUUUCCCCAUAGCUGCCCACAUCAUGACUAGUCUCACUAAGUGCUUCUUAUCUCUCAAGUAGAUGUCAGAUAAG
rnacentral:lncRNA from 1 species